rnacentral:rRNA from 1 species
AGAGUUUGAUCAUGGCUCAGAAUCAACGCUGGCGGGGCCUUUAACACAUGCAAGUCGCACGAGAAAGGAGAGCAAUCCCUGAGUAAAGUGCGCGUACGGGUGAGUAACACGUGGAUCAUCUACCUUUUAGUGUGGAAUACUCCCCGGGAAACUGGGGACAAUACCGCAUAAGCUCGUGAGAGGAAAGCAGCAAUGCGCUGAAAGAGGAGUCCGCGGCUGAUUAGCUAGUUGGUGAGGUAACGGCCCACCAAGGCGAAGAUCGGUAGCCGGCCUGAGAGGGCACACGGCCACACUGGCACUAAAAUACGGGCCAGACUCCUACGGGAGGCAGCAGUGGGGAAUCUUGCACAAUGGAGGAAACUCUGAUGCAGCGACGCCGCGUGAACGAUGAAGCCCUUCGGGGUGUAAAGUUCUUUCGACGGGAACGAUAAUGGCGGUACCCGAAGAAGAAGCUGCGGCUAACUACGUGCCAGCAGCCGCGGUAAUACGUGGGCAGCAAGCGUUGUUCGGAAUUACUGGGCGUAAAGAGUGCGUAGGCGGUGCUCUAAGUCUGUUGUGAAAUCUCCCGGCUUAACUGGGAGGGUGCAGCGGAAACUGGAGUGCUUGAGGGUGGGAGAGGUAAGCGGAAUUCCUGGUGUAGCGGUGAAAUGCGUAGAUAUCAGGAGGAACACCUGUGGUGUAGACAGCUUACUGGACCACUUCUGACGCUGAGGCACGAAAGCGUGGGUAGCAUACAGGAUUAGAUACCCCGGUAGUCC